rnacentral:tRNA from 1 species
UGCGGGAUCGUCUAAUGGUAGGACAACGGACUCUGAAUCCGUUUAUUGGAGUUCGAAUCUCUAUCCCGCAGCCA